rnacentral:rRNA from 1 species
CCUACGGGAGGCAGCAGUGGGGAAUAUUGGACAAUGGGGGCAACCCUGAUCCAGCAAUGCCGCGUGUGUGAAGAAGGCCUGCGGGAUGUAAAGCACUUUCGGAUGGGUAGAAAAGCUUAAGGCUAAUAUCCUUGAGUCUUGACGUUACUAUCAGAAGAAGCACCGGCUAACUCUGUGCCAGCAGGCGCGGUAAU